rnacentral:rRNA from 1 species
GCGAGCUGGGUUUAGAACGUCGUGAGACAGUUCGGUCCCUAUCUGCCGUGGACGUCUGAGAUUUGAGAGGGGCUGCUCCUAGUACGAGAGGACCGGAGUGGACGAACCUCUGGUGUUCCGGUUGUCACGCCAGUGGCAUUGCCGGGUAGCUAUGUUCGGGAAAGAUAACCGCUGAAAGCAUCUAAGCGGGAAACUUGCCUCAAGAUGAGAUCUAACUGGAACCUUGAGUUCCCUGAAGGGCCGUCGAAGACUACGACGUUGAUAGGUUGGGUGUGUAAGCGCUGUGAGGCGUUGAGCUAACCAAUACUAAUUGCCCGUGAGGCUUGACCAUAUAACACCCAAGCAAUUUGG